GGGCGGUCCCGCGGGCACCUCCCGGAGCUCCGGGGCGCUCCCCGGCCCAGGGCUGCAGGGACAGCUGCGGCCCGGCGCCUCCCCACGAGGGAACGUCGCUUUGCCCGGGUGGGAUCCGUCCCUCCCGGUGUGCGCGCGCCUCUCGGUGGCGCGAGAAGCAGCCAGAGCCGCCUUACGGCGAAGCGCCUCCGCCGAGCCACCUUAAACCAGCCGCAGCGGCGUUGAAAGCUCGCCUGUGAUUGGGCACCUGCCGCAGUGCUCAAAGUAACAGGCACGGCGAUUGGAGGAGAGCUGAGGCGGCUGUUGUCUCGGCAACCGGGUGUCCGCUUUCCCGGUGCUGCCGAGGGCCGGGGACGCACCGGCAGGAACGGACAGGCACCGGCAGGAACGGGCGGAUAAAGGCCGCAUAUCUCAUCUGAGCGGAGAACGGGGAUGUCCCCGAUGCUCCCCGCGCUGCCUCGGCCGCUCAGGUUUCCAGAUUUCCUCCAGUCCUUAUAAGCACCACAGGAAGGUGACUCAAACUGGAGGGGGGAAAAAAAAGAGAGAGAUUUAAGUCUCAAUCAAAGGGAUUUCAGUAUAACCAAGCCAUCCCAACAUGGAUUCCCUCACCAAGGUGCCUCCCAAGGGAAUAACAUCCUCCUUCCAGCUGAAGACCUCCUGUCUCACAAGGAACUAUGGAUUUACUGCAGGUUUACUCCAGAGUCUGCAGCCUCAGCCACACAAACCCACCAAGGAAGCAAAGAAAACUCCUUCCAGCCAGAAGUUCUGCUGGAAUCUCUCUGCUCCAACCAUCCCACCUGGUAAAGAUCUUCUUCCUGGGCUCCGUGACCUUGUGGAUGCAGAGACAGAGCACAGACCACAGGAAGGGCCAGGUGUGGCCUUUCCUUUUCAUGAGAUACCUCUCUGCUCCUGCACUUUGGGAAGAGCUGGAAGGACACCUGCCUGCUUUCCCUCCCAGUCAUCACCAAACAACACUUGCUGCUUAUCAGAUCAAGGCAUGAACAACACCAAAGCCAAACCAAGUCAAGGUGGCCUCUCCCCUGAAGCCACCAGCACUGGUCUUUUCCUCUGGGGAGAAAAUUCCCAUUUCUGGGGCUAAUGGAUGAGCAGCAUCUGACAGCACUGAGGGCCCUGAGCUCAGCAACAGGUGGAGGAACUCCGGACAAAUUCAGAGACUCACUAUGGCCCAUCCCUCAUCCUGAGCCAGGGACAUUCCAGCAUUUUUUGGAGAAGCAAACACUGAUCCCUCUCUGAUAAGUUCUCCAUAACCUCAGGCUUUUAGACUGAGGCACAAAGGAUCACCAUUAGACUCCCCAAACAAUUCCUCCUUCACCCAACUUCCUCUCCUUGGGAGACUUUACCCUCCCAACAAAUGUAAUAUGAACAAGCAUUAUCCCAAAUCUUUAAAGCCCAGAAAGAUCUGAGUUUUAUAUGCUCCAAAUAGCAGAGCCUGACAUGGCUCUACCUUUUAUUAUCUUGUUAAAAUGCUCUUGGAGCCAAUGGCAGGGGUUGGAGAGGACAGGUUUGGAGGCCCAGCAUAAAAGCAGAUGAGAGAUUAGCUUACCCUCUUUUGCACUUCUUGUAGACUUUAUAAAUGCUUUCUUCAGGAAGCCCAUAUUUUUCUGAAAUCUGUGAGAGAAAACAUGGCAAAUCUUUGUACUUGUAAAGUGAAAUUCCCAUGAUCAAAAUCAAAGAUAACACCAAGCCCAGGUGUUCAGCAGCAAAGGAUUCCUCCUCAGUUUUACUCCAGAGAACAAAACCAUGACCUGAACUUUCUCCUGGGCAAGUUCUCUUUUGGUCUUACAGUGGCAGGAAUUUUGUAGCUUUUUGCCAAGCAUUUUCCAUAAAGGUUUUUGACUCUCUGUGGUGAGGGACGGGAGAGGGACAAGAUGGCAAAGAAUCCUCUGUGCUGACAUUUUUCAAACUCCCUAUUUUUAAAAGUUUGUAAAACCAACAGAGCUUAAAGUGCAGCCAUAAAGCCACCCCAAAUCUGGGAGGUUUAUUGUUUGUUUCCUUCCCAGCCGUCUCCAGAGAGAGCUGGGCUAUCAGAGAUGCUGCUGAUAAUCAUGACAGAAAUAUGUCCGUGUGCUCCUCAAACACAGCCAGGGAAUUCUAGCACGAGGCCAGGGAGGGUUUUAGAUCACCCAUCUCCAGCCUGGAGAAUGGAAAAGCUGUUUGACAGUGGAAAAUAUGAAUGUGCUGUCACAAGAGGAGACUUCCAUGAGGAUGUGGACAGGGCAGGAGGUGUGAUCCUCCCUCUGCAGCACCAGCACUGCCCAUGCCAGGAGCUGCUGGGAGAACUCAGCUCCUUCUCCCACUUUGCAUUCCCAAGGGAGAGCAGGCAAGAGAGAUGAGCAGCCCAUACCCAGCUCCCUGUUCACCAACCCCAUUCCCUUUUAUCAGCAGUUUGUUCGUUCCCCAAGGUUUUGGGGACACUUACAGCUGUCCUGAGGCCCUGGAGAUCCGGGGUCUUCAACAUGAGAGCAUCAAACACCUCCUCCGACUCCCUGCGCACGUACAGCAGCACUGCAAGGGAACAGGGCAGCACUGCUCAGGAUCAUUCCCAGUGCUCCCAGAGCCAUGUGGCCUCAUGGAAUUCAAGAUCCAAGGUUAACUGAAUCAAAUGAGUUCCCAUCCCGGGGGUUACCUCUCUGGGGAUCUUCGUCCUUGGUUUGCUUUGGAGGGAUGGGGUCGAACUCGUCGGUGAAGGAGGCCCCGCUCCGCUUUAGGGGCAGCCUGGGCCGAGGGAACACAACACUCUCAGGAGGACAGAACAGGAAAAGCAAACAAAACAAUUCCAGCUACUGAGCUUCUCACUGAACAACCAGUUACUCCAAGAACCAUCCAGCAAUUAAGUAUUGGUUUGUAAUUAUAGCAGCAGAGUUUUGACUUCCUGCCUAAAGCACACGGGGAGCUCAGGGAGGGCCCACAGAGGGUUUGGGGUCACACUGAACCCAAAAGCCUUCUGCACCCUCAUGGCACUGCUUCCCCACUGGUAUCCCCAGACAGAGGGCCCAGGCUGGGGGAGAUUCUGCUUUUCAACUGUGAUUCCACUUCAUUCCAGUUUAUUUUACAGCCUCUGGGUAUUUGAACCCUUCAGUGACAGUUGUGGUCUUUGAUUUUCCCUUUCAAACAUUGUCUCCAUGAGAACAACAGGACAAUCAGGGAGCAGCUCAUGUUGGAGUGACUCUGACAGGGACAGAAAUGUGUCUGUGUUUCUGCAGCCCUGAGUCCCUUCCAGGACAAAGUGUAACUCAUAUUCUGGCUCUCAGGGCGUCAGGGAGACGCUGAGCUGUGUUAUCCUGCCCCUGGGGGUAUAAACAGCCCUGCCAUUCCCAAUGGAUGGGAAAUAAACACUGCUGCAUCCUCACCUGUUUGCAGAGUUGGGAACAGCAGGAGGGAGCACCUGGAAUGCAAAGGAAAUGGAUCUGUGAGUUUGCACAGCAUCACUGUGUGCCAGAGAGGCUGGGGGGUGGCAACUUGGGCACACUUUAAACAUGAUUUCCCUCCUCCUGGCCCCUCACACAAUUACACCCAAACAUCUGUUUCUUAAGAGUAAAUGAAAUUUGAUAUAAAGAACUUCUCCAGAUUCCCUGGUUUUGACAAACUGAGACAGUGGUUUCUGAGGCAGGGAAUGCUGGGGAGCUCUGAAGGACACUGGACAGAGGACAGUGGAGGGACGUCCCACCCACACAGGGACAGGGACUGAGAUGGUGACAUUUUGCUAUCAUUUAUUUUCUGCUGAUAGUUUUGCUACCACUGCAGCCCUCUGUGGAAGCUGCAGGUGAGUAAAGCACAGGAGUAUCAGGCUGGAAGGAGCCUGGAAAGGCUCUCUCACCCAUCACUGCUGCAUGCCUCAUUCCCACAAAGAGCUAUGCUGUGCUUUGGGCUUUUUCCAUAACACAAGUCCUGUGGGGGGAAUGCUCAGCCCGGGAAGGAUGGGCUGAGAGGCUGGCUGUGUUUUGGGGGACUCACCGAGCCACACCUCUGCGGGUUGGAGAAGUGCACGUUGGGGAUGAACAGCACCGGCUGCGUCUCCAGGUCGCUCUCCGGCCGCAGGAACGUGAUCUCAUUCCCUCUGAAGCCAGAGAGCAAACAGCCUUUCAGACCUACAGAUGGAGAGUCCAGUUCAUCUCAGCUCCCACAGCUCCGGGAGAGGGGAGCCCCUUCCCAAGGCUCCCAGCAGAAAUGCUGGGAACAGGGCAGGAGCCUGCAGCAGCUCCAGGGCAGCCCAAGGGAGCCCAGAACGAUUCCCAAGGGUUGGGCAGUGUCCAUGAAGGGCUUUGGGACGCUGGGAAGGAGCCCAGCGAGGGCCUGACUGCCAGGCUGCUUCCCAAGGGUGCUGAGGGCAGCAGGCUUGGGAACAGCCACAUCCGUGGAAGUUAAGGGACAGGGAUUUCAACAUGGAGCAGGGACCAGACACAAGCACUGACCAUUGUUGUUGGAGUCCAGGCAUUUUCCUUUCCUUCGGAACUGUUUCCUUUCAUCAUCCCUCAUUUUCCUCUCUGCUCCCUGUGGGAAGAUCCAGCAAAAUUUAGGACAUUGGCAGGUCCAACAUGGGCAAGAGAGGGCUCAGAAAUGGUCACCUCAGGGACCUUCUACAGCCCAGCCAGGACUCUCUGACACUCAGAAAUUAGAAAAACAAAAAUGAAAUUUGCUUUUAGAAAUGAAACACGCAGACAAAAAUAGCUGUGAGAAAUUUUUCCAUGGGAAGAUAUCUGAGAUUGAGGGAUAACCUCCGAGGAAAUUCUCAUCUCUUUUGAUAUUUAACAACUUGUCAAAAACAGAGAGUCAAAAAUAAAGUUCAUUGUGAGGCACAGUCACA